rnacentral:misc_RNA from 1 species
GUGAAUCAUCGAAUUUUUGAACGCAAAUUGCACUCUCCUCGAAGACUAUGCGUAUUUGAGGGUCAGCCUAUAAAAAAUCGACAUCGUUGCUGUUUCGCGGUGGCGUUCGUCGUCAGUUGUGUCAUCUUAUAUCUACUGUUUUUAAGAGGGUUAUAAUAUUCUUCUUGUUUCCAUGAACUUUUCUCAGAUUUAUUUCUUUACACGUUUAUGGUAUCGUUUUUUAUUAUACGUGACAAUCAUAUCCAAUCGCGCCGAU